GAUGAACGCUGGCGGCGUGCCUAACACAUGCAAGUCGAACGGAGUCCAGCCUUUAAGACCUUCGGGUCAAAGAGGGGAAGACUGAGUGGCGGACGGGUGAGUAACACGUGGGCAACCUGGCUCAUAGAGGGGGAUAACAGAGAGAAAUUUCUGCUAAUACCGCAUAAGCACACACUGCCGCAUGGCAGAGGGUGAAAAGAGAAUCGCUAUGAGAUGGACCCGCGUCUGAUUAGCCAGUUGGCAGGGUAAGAGCCUACCAAAGCGACGAUCAGUAGCCGAUCUGAGAGGAUGAACGGCCACAUUGGGACUGAGACACGGCCCAAACUCCUACGGGAGGCAGCAGUGGGGGAUAUUGCACAAUGGGGGGAACCCUGAUGCAGCGACGCCGCGUGAGUGAAGAAGUAUUUCGGUAUGUAAAGCUCUAUCAGCAGGGAAGAUAAUGACAGUACCGGAAUAAGAAGCCCCGGCUAACUACGU
rnacentral:rRNA from 1 species